rnacentral:lncRNA from 1 species
GCUGCAAACAUUGGGAUCAGCCGUGACUAUCCCAUAACAUCAUAUUUCUGAUUUCGUUCUUUUCCUUUCUCCUACCAAUUUAAUCUGCAAUCACUUCAAGAGAAGUCUGUUUAAAGGAUAUUCACACUCUGUUCACAGAGUUUGAGAGGAACUGUAUUCAAGUUGCUGAAACCAAGAAGCUACACUCAUGAGUCUCACCUAAACUCAAAUCUGAUUUAAAUGACAUCAUCCUGGACUUUGAGUUGAUGAAACCUUGGAGGUCUUGGGAGUAAAGUAAGUGUGAUUUGCAUAUGAUGGAUAUGAAUUGUAAUGGCCAGAGCAUGGCUGUGAGGAUGAAAACUCCCAUUUUAGGGAACCAAGACUGAAUUCCAUGAUUUACAUGGAUGUUUGGAAGGUGUCUGCAACUUAAUCUGUGUUCGUUUCUGAGAUGUUGGGCAACUCCUUCUUGGAAGAUGUGGUAAUGGUCUCUUUGAAAAGAAAAUAAUCAUCUGAGUUUUGGCCAAAAUAGUUGAUCAGAUUACCUAUGAAAAUGACUCUCACCCAACUACAAGAAU